GCAUAGUUCAUUGUCUAAUGGCAGAUAAUUUGAGGCGCCGCGACGCGACCAGCUGGAAAAGAGUGACGGUAUUUUCAUCUUUGUCCUUGUCGUUGCAUUUUAACCAGGCUUAAGUUCAUUUUACAAACUGAAUCUCAGGAGACCAUAGAUGAGCUGAAAGUUUAAUCGGAGGACAAUUAGAAUUUAGUGCUAUAGAGAUGGAUUGGGGAGUUGAGUGAACGUGUGUCUGCAGCAGGAGUCAGCAGAGCCAGAACAGAGGAAGAGCGCAUUUGGAGUGCCAGAUAAGCCGGGAGGAGCGGCAUAGCUAGUUCGAGUCUACUGACUGAGCUGAGCAGAGCCUCACGCCUGACUCAACUGCUGAACAAUCAAUUUCGAAUUGGGAGACGGACAGAAGUCGUAGGACAGACAUCCUUACCUAAGGACAAAGACUACACAGACAGAGAGCAGGCUUGUUCUAAAAAGGCACUCUGGCAGGUAAGCUUUAUGUACAGUUAAUUGUUUCUGUGCUGCAUAUUAUGUGCUUCCUUCUACAUGAAUGUACUGUAGGUACCAAUUUUCUACCCCUGGGUAGAGGGUUACAAAUUGAGAUGAUUAAUGCCUUGUCAAAGGACGUGAGUAGACAGUGGGUUAUGAACCCACUCCUCAUUGUCUAGAUUAAAAGUCUGGAGACAACAACUUGCAAUCACAUUUCUUGUUUUUCCAAGCACUUAUUAGUCUUAGCUGCAGACUUCAAGAUGUUGAUCAUUCUCCCUAUGAAUACAUUUGUGUGAUCUGGUUGAAUUCAUGGUACUCUGGCAACAAGAUUAUUUUCCAGUGGAAAUGAGAAGUGUUGAUCAAAGGCCUGUCACCUAUUUUGCAUCAUACAUUAAAACAAGCCUCACUUUUUAAUCUAUCUGUACAUCAUUAACCAAAAUAAAACUAUUUCUCAGAAAGAGUAUUCACACCAAACAGUAGUGAAACAAUUUCAUGAAAAGGAGGGGUUGUUGAGGGGGCUCAGAAAGCUGCUCCAUUUUGUUCGGCGAAUCCUUUUUGGUAACAAAACUUUAACACACUUGUUGACAAGAACUGAUGUUUUAAUUGAACUAUGAAAAAUUUGACAGGCAAAAGCAAAUUAUGUAAAAGGGUUUUGAAACAAAUGAUGAUGUCAUUAUCUUCCAGAAAUCUUGUCACAAAGACACCCAAGUAGUGGGGGGCCCUGAGUGCCUUCUCCUGUGCACUCACUAAAUAUACAGGGGUGGGCACUUACAUGUAGGGCCCCGUCCCAUGGAUCCCUGGUGCUACAGAACCAAAACCACACAUACAGUACAGUGACACUACAGUAGCAAUUACAACGCAUGGUAUUCUGAUAAUUAAACCUAGGUUUUACCCUAUUCUAAACUAGAAUUUUAAACACUUCUAUGGAAUGCUGGGCUUUGUAAUAUUUCUUCCAUAUUCACAGCAAUUAUUAUGUAUUGAUCAAUUAAUUAUGAAAAUGAUAGUAAUUUUUGUAUUUUCAUAUUCUUCCCAUUUUAUGACUCGAAAUAAUGAUUUGACAACAUUUUGCAACAGGUUAAAAAUGAUUUUUAAUUGAUAAUUGAGUUGACAACUGGCACUUCAUAAAGGUUUGGUCUGCAUGUAAGUUAACCUACAUGUUUAACUAUCAGAAUACCACCCAGUAGGUUUUAAAAAGCCAGACAGCCACUUUUAAAGUCUUUUUAUAGAUUAUGAAUUUCUUUAGAAGUUGUUAUGAAUCACACUUGUGGUAACAUACAUGUACAGUAUGUACCAGAAAGAAUCACAUCUAAAAAUGCAAACUGUUCAGAGAGAGACAAAAAAAUAGAAAACCUGUUGUAUGAGUUGUUUUUUCAUGAUUUUACACAUCGAUACACUUAAUAUGCCUACAUGUACCUGUAUACGCUUCAUGUCAUUUCAUCAAUUCCAGCUUGAUGAGAAAUGACAGGUCGCAUACAUACAUGUACAUUACAAAGCUAAAAUAGUGUGACAAAGUGUCACAUAAUUCCUGGUAAAAUGCCAAUUUUAUCACGCACCUGUCUGGUUAUUAUAAAAUGUCAUGGAUAUUGGAGAAUAUUGAUUUAUUGAAAGUUCAUAUUAUUUCAAGCACUUGUGAUUUCUACAAGUGGGUUUGUUCAUAUUUCUGUAGCUGUAAUACACUGUAUGCAAAACACAUUCAAAGUUGGAGAGAAAGUAUUACAUGUACAUGUAUAAUGAGAAUAAUAGCUGCUUUUUUCAGCGGAUACUAAGUGCAGAUGCUGGGGUUUAUUUUAUAAUUCUGUAAAUGUGGGGGCCCUGUUAAUAAAGACUUUCAUACAGCUAUGUUUAAUAACUUUCCAUUAGGCCUAAUGUAAUGCAAUGGAAACUUUGUGAUUGGCUGAAAAGCACUGUUACCAUGGUAGUGUUAUACAUAGUUGUAACCCUUUAAAGGUCAAGUCCACCUCAGAAAAAUGUUGAUUUGAGUCAAUAGAGAAAAAUCAGACACGCAAAAUGCUGAAAAUUUCAUCGAAAUCGGAUGUAAAAUAAGAAAGUUAUGACAUUUAUAUUUUUGUUUAUUUUUAACAAAAUAGUUAUAUGCACAAUUUAGUCACAUGCAAAUGAGAAAAUCGAAUAUGUCCCUCAUUCACUAUUUCUUUUGUUUGUUAUUGUUUGAAUAAUAAAAUAUAUUUUUUUACAGAUUUUACAAUAAGGACCAACUUGACUUUAAUAUAAAGGUCCUUAAAAUGUUAAACAAUGGUAAUUCAGAUUGUUCAGGUCAAAUUAAAACUUUGUUUCACAGGACAGUGAGGAGAAAACUAGAAUAUUUCAUAUUUGAUAUAAUAAAAUACAAAAUAAAUAGUGAGUGAAUGAUGCCAUCAGUUCCCUCAUUUGCAUAGCGACUGGGAUGUGCAUAUACAUGUAUUAUUUGUGAAAUUAAAGUGAAACUUUAUUGUCAUAACUUUCUUAUUUUACAUCCGAUUUCGAUGAAAUUUUCAGUGCUGUGCUUGUUGGAUUUUUCUCUUUUUAUUCAAAUCAACUUUUUGUUGGGGUGGACUUGUCCUUUAAGAAAUGGGCUGCAUGGUGACGGUUAUACCUGGUUAUAGGAAAGGAACCUUUUUAAAAUCUACAUGUAUGACAUUCCUAUUUAUAAUGAAAUUAAUGU